UACAGAGGUGGCAAGCGUUGCUCGGAAUCACUGGGCGUAAAGCGCACGUAGGCGGCUUUCUAAGUCAGGGGUGAAAUCCUGGAGCUCAACUCCAGAACUGCCUUUGAUACUGGAGAGCUUGAGUCCGGAAGAGGUGAGUGGAACUCCGAGUGUAGAGGUGAAAUUCGUAGAUAUUCGGAAGAACACCAGUGGCGAAGGCGGCUCACUGGUCCGGUACUGACGCUGAGGUGCGAAAGCGUGGGGAGCGAACAGG
rnacentral:rRNA from 1 species